rnacentral:misc_RNA from 1 species
UACGUAGGUGGCAAGCGUUGUCCGGAAUUAUUGGGCGUAAAGCGCGCGCAGGCGGCCCCUCGAGUCUUAUGUGAAAGCCCCGGGCUCAACCGGGGAGGGCCAUUGGAAACUGGCAGGCUUGAGUGUAGGAGAGAAGAGUGGAAUUCCACGUGUAGCGGUGAAAUGCGUAGAGAUGUGGAGGAACGCCAGUGGCGAAGGCGACUCUUUGGCCUAUCACUGACGCUGAGGCGCGAAAGCGUGGGGAGCAAACAGG